rnacentral:misc_RNA from 2 species
CCAGGUAGCAUUCCUCUUUUGACAAUACCCACCCGCGGUACGAGCCAUACGGGCUAGGCAGUCAUUUUAAGAGAAGCGCGAACGCUAAACGAAGGCAGAAAGAAGAUCCCAAAGGACCCCAUGCCAACAUCAGGUUCCGUAUCCAAGAUAACAAGCAACGCUCAAUGUGCCACAACAUCAAUGCAAGCAUUAACGAUGUGGUGCAAAGAGACAGCUUCAAGGUUCAUCCAAUGCCAUGUUAGUGACACAAGACGAAAGCAACUUUGAUCAGCCAAAGACAAUACCAUAGCUUAGGUAGGCAACACAGGAAACCCACAAUAUGCUUAGACGAAACACGCCUAAACA